AUGAACGCUGGCGGCGUGCCUAAUACAUGCAAGUCGAGCGAACGGACGAGAAGCUUGCUUCUCUGAUGUUAGCGGCGGACGGGUGAGUAACACGUGGAUAACCUACCUAUAAGACUGGGAUAACUUCGGGAAACCGGAGCUAAUACCGGAUAAUAUUUUGAACCGCAUGGUUCAAAAGUGAAAGACGGUCUUGCUGUCACUUAUAGAUGGAUCCGCGCUGCAUUAGCUAGUUGGUAAGGUAACGGCUUACCAAGGCAACGAUGCAUAGUCGACCUGAGAGGGUGAUCGGCCACACUGGAACUGAGACACGGUCCCGACUCCUACGGGAGGCAGCAGUAGGGAAUCUUCCGCAAUGGGCGAAAGCCUGACGGAGCAACGCCGCGUGAGUGAUGAAGGUCUUCGGAUCGUAAAACUCUGUUAUUAGGGAAGAACAUAUGUGUAAGUAACUGUGCACAUCUGGACGGUACCUAAUCAGAAAGCCACGGCUAACUACGU
rnacentral:rRNA from 1 species